rnacentral:rRNA from 1 species
ACGGGAGGCAGCAGUGGGGAAUAUUGCACAAUGGGGGAAACCCUGAUGCAGCGACGCCGCGUGAGUGAAGAAGUAUUUCGGUAUGUAAAGCUCUAUCAGCAGGGAAGAAAAUGACGGUACCUGACUAAGAAGCCCCGGCUAACUACGUGCCAGCAGCCGCGGUAAUACGUAGGGGGCAAGCGUUAUCCGGAUUUACUGGGUGUAAAGGGAGCGUAGACGGCCAGACAAGUCUGAUGUGAAAGCCCGGGGCCCAACCCCGGAACUGCAUUGGAAACUGCCAGGCUGGAGUGCAGGAGAGGCAAGUGGAAUUCCUAGUGUAGCGGUGAAAUGCGUAGAUAUUAGGAGGAACACCAGUGGCGAAGGCGGCUUGCUGGACUGUAACUGACGUUGAGGCUCGAAAGCGUGGGGAGCAAACAGGAUUAGAUACCCUGGUA